CUAUAAGCAAAUCUCUACUUUUUAGAUUCAUUUAAUAAACGAUGUAUGUGGUCUACAAUGUAAACCACAGACAUCAUUUAUUAAAUGAAUCUAAAAAGUAGAAAUUUGCUUAUAA
rfam:Medicago truncatula strain A17 chromosome 4, whole genome shotgun sequence.